GGAGAGGUACCCGAAGUGGCCCAACGGGGCACAGGGGCAAACCGGUUCGGGUCCGGGCGCGCGCAGGUUCGAAUCCUGCCCUCUCCG
rnacentral:tRNA from 1 species